rnacentral:lncRNA from 1 species
UGUCUGAGGACAGAGCCUGUCCCAUACUCUCCCUCCUGCUGGCAGCAACACAGCUCUGUGAGCUCCAGCCCAGAGGUCUGGAGGUGGGUGUUCAAGUGGAAGAUACGUGUUCAAACCAGAUACAUCCAGAUUGAAGAAAAACAAUAUGAAUUCAACAGGAAUUUCUGUCUCAUCUUUCACACUAAGCUGUCUAACUCUCACUACAAGCCAGAGCUACAGGCUCAGACCACUCAUUAAUCUCACUAUCACCAGGGAUGGGCUGGAAGAACGGCAGCUGGCUGUGUUGCUUGGUGCUGAAAGGCUAGACUUGGAAAAUCGCAAGGCCUUCAAAGUAGUCUUCCACAAAGCAAUUAAGCAAGCUGAAGACAUUUGGUAG